UCUGAUUUGGAAGUGCUGUGCUUUCAUGUUGUAUGCCUAUAUGACUGUUUAUUUAGUUGUGAGUUGAUUGAUUAGGAAAUAAGUGCUUUUCAAGUUGACAGUAUAAAUAAUGAAACUUUAUUAGUGAUAUAUGUGACACAUUCAACAAUGCUAAUUUUCUGUACUGCUCUGUGUAAUUCACUUGCCUUUUUCAGUGGGCUGUAAACAAUAGGAGUUUUGAGGGAAAUCGCUAAUUUGUUGGCUUUUUAAAAGGCAACAGAAAGGAAUCCAAAAUUUACAAAUAUUUCCAGAGUGCCACCUAGUGGGAAAAGAAUUGAAGCCGCAAGAAAAUUUGGACUCAAAUACAGCUUUGAUCUUGUCAAGUUGCUGAUCAAGGUGUGAAGGCUGACAGACUGUGGUCUUGCAGAAGCAGGAACUCAAACUAUAUGCCCCUGAAAAAGAGAAAUAUGUAAUUUUCACUUUGUGACAAACAGUUCCUCGAACUCUGGAAAAUCCUCUGGUGUUUGACUGAAAGUAUAUGAUAGUCUCUUCAUAGUAAGAAAACACCCUAAAUCAUGUCUGGAGAUGUCUCCAAAUGAUUAGCUGUGGGUAUUUUUACUCAACUCAAGCCUAGUUUUAUUGCACUCAUGGGAAUAACUUAUACAAGCAGAACAACACGUGUGAUCUUGAGUUAUGACCUGCACAAGGUAUAUGUGUGAUUGUGGUGUGAUAAAAAGGUUUGUUUGUCACUUAU
rnacentral:lncRNA from 1 species